rnacentral:rRNA from 1 species
UGGGGAAUCUUGGACAAUGGGGGCAACCCUGAUCCAGCCAUGCCGCGUGAGUGAUGAAGGCCUUAGGGUCGUAAAGCUCUUUCGCCUGUGAAGAUAAUGACGGUAGCAGGUAAAGAAACCCCGGCUAACUCCGUGCCAGCAGCCGCGGUAAUACGGAGGGGGUUAGCGUUGUUCGGAAUUACUGGGCGUAAAGCGCACGUAGGCGGACCAGAAAGUUGGGGGUGAAAUCCCGGGGGCUCAACCCCGGAACUGCCUCCAAAACUAUUGGUCUAGAGUUCGAGAGAGGUGAGUGGAAUUCCAAGUGUAGAGGUGAAAUUCGUAGAUAUUUGGAGGAACACCAGUGGCGAAGGCGGCUCACUGGCUCGAUACUGACGCUGAGGUGCGAAAGUGUGGGGAGCAAACAGGAUUAGAUACCCCUGGGUAGUCCCACACCGUAAAACGAUGUCUACUAGCCGUUGGGGUACUUGAGACCUUAGUGGCGCAGCUAACGCACUAAGUAGACCGCCU